CCUACUUUCUGAUAUCAAAUGAAUAUUAGUAUCAGAAUAUAUCUUCCAAUAUAGUACUGUAUUUCAUAUAUACUUUUAAUAAUGAAGACAUUGAAUUUCGAAUGAUGAUCGUGAACUAUUUAUUUGAACUACUAACAGAAUUGAAGUCUCAUUCAGGAAUCAGGAAAAUUUGUAUUGAUUUAUGUUGCACGGAUAUUAGCCUUGAUAUAUUUUCUCUUCAUUUUCAUACUAAAAGUGAACUACAUAUCAUAUAUAGUGCAUACUUACGACUAAUUGCGAUUUAAUAUGUUUAUUGCCGAAUUAUAAUGAUUUAAGUAUAUAUUGGGUCACAUAAAAACAUGGCGUUAACGCAUAAAAGAAGUUUCUUCUUCUACGAACGAAGAUUUAGAGAUUGACAUGAUUAUGAUAUUACAUCAAUUUUGAACUGUAGAUGUGACUCGCCGAUCCUCAAGGUCAAAGUAUCUAACGGUAUCUGAAAGUACAGGUGGUGCUUCAUGUCACAUGAUCAAAGACCAGUCACGCUGGCGUCGUCUUAUAUUUGUAGCUCCGUUUACCUAUACGCAGCUGAGAACUUUGCUAUACAGGUGAUGAAUGUACUCGGACAUGCGGAGAAUAAUGAAACCAAAUUGAAUGAAUGAAAUUAUCAAAAUUGGUUUAGAAUUUUGUUACUUUUCCUAUUUCGAAAUGAAAAGUUUUUCCGGAACGGAUUAAAUUAUGCAAAGUAAAAUAUAAAUGCUUAAUAUUUUCAGCGUUUUUAUUUUUGUAAAAUUACAUCUCACUUUAGCUCUGAAGAAAUUAUAAAAUUAAUUUUAAUAUAGCUGAAAUAAGAUUUAGUGAUUGAUAUCCGGAUUAUCUCGUAAUAUUGGUUAAUUAUAGCGCAAAUAUAUAUCAGUAUUGUAUCUAAAUGAAGGACAUGUUUGAUUUGAAAUGGAGAUUUGAAAGCAUUUUUUCUGUAUUUAGCCGAUUCGAUCAUCAUCAGUUAUUUUAUGUUUGUAGAGUACCGUUUAUUCUUAUACUGUGUUGUAAUGUCAUAGGAGAAACGAUGAUUGCUACAGGGGGAAAAAAAACUUCAUCUGUCUGCCAUCGACCCGUCAGCCAACAGCAAUAGACUAGUUGGCGUGAUAAAGUCCAGACAGACGGCGGAUGUGGUCAGUUAAUGGCCGGAGGGUGGAAUGACCAUGGAAGACAAUAGUUAACACUGUAUUUCGGGAUUCCCGACCACAAAUUUAAUGUGAAGUAUAAGAUGCUGUUAAACGUUUCAUACAUAUUAAUUUUCAUAAUUAUGUAUACAAAUAUAAUUAAAUUUAUAACGGUUUUGAAUUAUUUAUCAAGUUAAGAGUUUAUAAGAGCUGUGCCGAAUUGAUGACUGAAUUCUUCUUGUGUGAAGACUGCAAGAGGAACAUCAGUCAACUUGGUCUAAAUGAUAUCUAAAAGCAAUGGUGCAUGUAUUCUAUUGUCGGAAAUUAUAAUUUUGGAUUAAUUAGCUAUAUAUGUGCUAGAAAUAUGUUGAUGACUGGCUGCAUAAUAACGAAACUUGUAUGCGAGUUAGUAUAAUUAUAUAUUAACUAAGCAUGAAGUUUAUCUAAAUAAAU
rnacentral:lncRNA from 1 species